rnacentral:misc_RNA from 1 species
AAUUCUCAAACCACACUUUGUGUUGUGGCUUGGAUAGUUGGGUGUUGCUGGCUUUAAAAAGCUUUAGCUCAUCUUAAAUGUAUAAGUGGGAAUUUUUUCUAGAAACUUAUUAGGUGUUGUAAAUAAAUCAAUUCAUCUAUGUUUCUGAAAUAUACUUGUUUGAUGACAA